UCCCAUCAGAACUCCGCAGUUAAGCGCGCUUGGGCUGGAGUAGUACUGGGAUGGGUGACCUCCCGGGAAGUCCCGGUGUUGCACCCUC
rnacentral:rRNA from 1 species